rnacentral:rRNA from 1 species
GAAUAAGUACUCAAGUGCACACGGGGGAUGCCUAGGCAUCAGUCGGCGAUGAAGGACGUGAUAAGCUGCGAUAAGCUUCGGCGAGGUGCAAAUAGCCUUUGACCCGGAGAUUUCCGAAUGGGAAAACCCAGUGGACUAUGUCCAUUAUCCUAAACUGAACACAUAGGUUUAAGGAGGCGAACGCGGAGAAUUGAAACAUCUUAGUACCCGUAGGAAAAGAAAUCAACCGAGAUUCCCCUAGUAGCGGCGAGCGAACGGGGAACAGCCCUUAAGCUGUAAAUUAGUUAGCAGAAUCGUUCUGGAAAGAACAACCGCAGAUGGUAAUAGUCCAGUAUGCGAAAGCUGUUUACAGUGAAAUCGAGUAGGGCGGGGCACGAGAAACCCUGUCUGAACAUGGGAGGACCACCUUCCAAGGCUAAAUACGAACUGAUGACCGAUAGUGAAGUAGUACCGUGAGGGAAAGGUGAAAAGUACCCCGGAAGGGGAGUUAAAAGUACCUGAAACCGUGUGCAUACAAGCGGUCGGAGGGGUCUUCGGACUCUGACGGCGUGCCUUUUGUUUAAUGAGCCAGCGAGUUGCUCGUCUUUAGCAAGCUUAAAGUCUUCAGGACUGUAGGCGUAGCGAAAGCAAGUCUUAAUAGGGCGUAUAGUUGAAGGCGGCAGACACGAAGCCUUGUGAUCUAGCCAUGACCAGGUUGAAGCUGCAGUAACAUGCAGUGGAGGACCGAACCAGUAAACGUUGAAAAGUUUUUUGUUUUUUUUUGGCUAGGGGUGAAAGGCCAAUCAAACUGGGCGAUAGCUUGUUCUCUCCGAAAUAUAUUUAGGUAUAGCGUCAUAAUAAUCUACAGGGGGUAGAGCACUGAAUGGACUAGGGGGCAUACCCGCUUACCAAACCCAAGUAAACUCCGAAUACCUGUUAGAUGUUUUAUGGCAGUCAGCCCGUGGGAGAAAGUUUCACGGACGAAAGGGGAACAACCCGGACCACCAGCUAAGUGUCCCAAAGUGUAUGCUAAGUGGGAAAGGAGGUGGGGAUACUCAGACAACCAGGAGGUUAGCUUAGAAGCAGCUAUCCUUUAAAGAAAGCGUAAUAGCUCACUGGUCAAGUGUCCCUGCGCCGAAAAUUUGCGGGACUAAGCAUACCACCGAAGCUGUGGAUUUAAUUUAUUAAAUGGUAGGAGAGCGUUCUGUAAGCCGCAGAAGCCGUGUCGCGAGAGACGGUGGAGGUAUCAGAAAUGAGAAUGCUGGCAUGAGUAGCGAAAAAGAGGGCGAGAAACCCUCUCACCGUAAGCCCAAGGUUUCCUAAGUAAAGCUAAUCUGCUUAGGGUUAGCCGACCCCUAAGGCGAGGCCGAAUGGCGUAGUCGAUGGGAAGCAGUUUAAUAUUACUGCGCUUGAUUCAAAUUGUUUGACCGAUGGAGUGACGCAGGCACUAAGGCGAUCGCACGGAUGGAAGUGUGCGUUUACGGAUGUAGGUUGUGGGGUAGGCAAAUCCGCCCCGCGUGUAACCGAGAUCUGGACCGAAGCAAUCUACUUGUAGAGAGUGAAGUCGCUGAACGACUGCCAAGAAAUAGCUUCUAAGGGAAAUUUGAAUCAAAUCGUACCGCAAACCGACACAGGUGGGCGAGGCGAGUAGCCUCAGGUGCUCGAGAUAACCGUGGAGAAGGAACUCGGCAAAUUGACUCUGUAACUUCGGGAUAAAGAGUGCCCUCUAAUGUGAUGAGUACAUCUAAGCAUAGGGGGGCCGCAGUGAAUAGGCCCAAGCGACUGUUUACCAAAAACACAGGACAAUGCUAACUCGCAAGAGGACGUAUAUUGUCUGACACGUGCCCGGUGCUGGAAGGUUAACAGGAGGCGUUAUCGCAAGAGAAGCGCUGAAUCGAAGCCCCAGUAAACGGCGGCCGUAACUAUAACGGUCCUAAGGUAGCGAAAUUCCUUGUCGGGUAAGUUCCGACCUGCACGAAUCGUGUAACGAUUUGGGCGCUGUCUCCUCCGCGGACUCGGUGAAAUUGCAGUAUCGGUGAAGAUGCCGAUUACCCGCACCAGGACAGAAAGACCCCAUGAACCUUUACUGUAUCUUGACAUUGGUUUUAGGCAUUGUAUGUGUAGGAUAGGUGGGAGGCUAUGAAGCGGUAUCGCUAGAUAUCGUGGAGCCAUCCUUGAAAUACCACCCUUAUAAUGUUUGAAAUCUAACCAUGGCCCCUGAAGCGGGGUCUGGGACAAUGUCUGGUGGUCAGUUUGACUGGGGCGGUCGCCUCCUAAAAAGUAACGGAGGCAUCCAAAGGUUCCCUCAGAGCGGUCGGUAAUCGCUCGAAGAGUAUAAAGGCAUAAGGGAGCUUUACUGUGAGAGAGGCAUCUCGAGCAGUUGCGAAAGCAGGGCUUAGUGAUCCCGCGGUAUAGCGUGGAAUUGCCGUUGCUCACUGGAUAAAAGGUACUCUGGGGAUAACAGGCUGAUCUCCCCCAAGCGUCCACAGCGACGGGGAGGUUUGGCACCUCGAUGUCGGCUCGUCGCAUCCUGGGGCUGGAGAAGGUCCCAAGGGUUUGGCUGUUCGCCAAUUAAA